AAAAUACCGCCAACCAAAAUGACUGUUUUUUCUAUUUUCCCGUGUACCCAUUUCUCCUUACCCAUUUCUUCUUCUUCAAUCUUUCUCUUCACGAAGGCUAGUAGCUCUCUCGGUCUAUCUCUCUCGGUCAUUCCCGUAGGCUAGUAUCUCUCUCGGUCUCUAACUCCCCUUCACGAAAGACAAAUCCUGAGAAGGGCUUCACCACAUUCGAGUCAAGGGUUUCUCUGAUUCAAGACGAAAUUACUACAGUUGAAAUUUCUUGUUUCAAUCUGCGAAGAACAACGAAGGAGCUUUACGGUUCCUUACAUUGCAGCAGCUUGGACAGAUGCAAAACUUGGUGCGGAAGGGCGCAAAGAUCUUUUUGAGUGGUUGUCAAAACAACUAUCUGGGUUAACUGAAUUUCCCAAUGCUGUACAGCUACUAAAGCCAGCUUCCUCUGCUCUGACGGAUAAAUCAUCAGAUGUUCGUAAAGCAGCAGAGACAUGCAUUGCUGAAAUCUUGAGAGUUUGUACACAAGAAACUGUUGAGAAGCUUGUUAGGGAUGUUUAGGGACCAGCUUUAGCUCUUGUUCAUGACGUUUGAAGCAUUAUGGUAAUUUUCAAGAACUGUGGCUUUUGUUUGGCAGGUUAAACUUGUAAAAUGUCUUGUACAGAACAUUGUGGUUGAUAUUUCGUUCAAUCAGUUGGGAGGGCUUUGUACACUAUGCUUUCUUGAGCAGGUGGGAGUUAUCUUACACUUAAAAAACUACACAUUUGGGGAUUUUAUUACUCAAAACCACAGCAAGGGACGGCUGGUAAAUCAACCACACCAAAGCUGAACGGCUGAAAGAGAUGAAGGCGAACGAUGGCAUUGACGGCAGCUGGGUUCUCGGCGGCGCUCGACGGUAGCUGUGUUCUCGGCUCUAGCACUCACGGCGGCGCAGGUUCUUGGUUCCAGCACUCACGGCGGCGCAGGUCUCGGCUCCAGCACUCACGGCGGCGCAGGUCUCGGCUCUAGCAGUCUCGCCGGCGGUGCAAGGUCUCGGCUCCAGCAGAGUAGCUCAGCAAGCGUAGACAUUGUUCCCCUGUUCCUUGAAAACACUUACAACCUUCAAAUUGAUGAUAGUGAUUUGAAUAUCACAUCCUCCUCCAUGCUUGAAGAAGAGCAGAGUGGAACUAGACCUUCAGUCUGCAUUCAGCAUAUUCCUACUGGCAUAAGUGUCCAAUCAGCAGGGAUGAUUUUAGAAAGAAAUUCAUAACAGUCAAUCCUUACUUUGGAAAGGCAGUGACGAGGGUGAGUACAAGGACAAGAAGAAGAAAUAUAUGUUGUUUGACAAUGAAUUUAGUGUUUUAUUAUAUUUGUAAUUUUUAUUAGAGUAAAUGAUUUUUA